rnacentral:rRNA from 1 species
UUUAAAUGGCCGCAGUAUACUAACUGUGCAAAGGUAGCAUAAUCAUUAGUCUUUUAAUUGAAGGCUGGUAUGAAUGGUUGGACGAGAUAUUAACUGUUUCAUUAGAAUUUAUAUUAGAAUUUUAUUUUUUAGUCAAAAAGCUAAAAUUUAUUUAAAAGACGAGAAGACCCUAUAAAUCUUUAUAUUUAAAUUAUUAUAAUUUUAUAGAUUUUUUUUGUUAUAAUAGUUAAUAAUAUUUUAUUGGGGUGAUAUUAAAAUUUAAUAAACUUUUAAUUUUUAAAAUCAUUAAUUUAUGUAUAAUUGAUCCGUUAUUAACGAUUAAAAAACUAAGUUACUUUAGGGAUAACAGCGUAAUUUUUUUGGAGAGUUCAUAUCGAUAAAAAAGAUUGCGACCUCGAUGUUGGAUUAAGAUAUAAUUUUAGGUGUAGUCGCUUAAAUUUAAAGUCUGUUCGACUUUUAA